CCUGGCUCAGAACGAACGCUGGCGGCGUGCUUAAUACAUGCAAGUCGAACGAGAAAGUCCGGCUUCGGCUGGAUGAGUAAAGUGGCGAACGGGUGAGUAACACGUGGGCAACCUGCCCUUGAGACCGGGAUAAGCCCUCGAAAGGGGGUCUAAUACCGGAUAAUAUCCGGAGAUGGCAUCUUCACCGGAUCAAAUGUUUUUCGCUCAAGGAUGGGCCCGCGCUCCAUUAGCUUGUUGGUAGGGUAAAAGCCUACCAAGGCUACGAUGGAUAGCCGGCCUGAGAGGGUGAUCGGCCACACUGGGACUGAGAUACGGCCCAGACUCCUACGGGAGGCAGCAGUAGGGAAUAUUGCGCAAUGGGCGAAAGCCUGACGCAGCAACGCCGCGUGGAUGAUGAAGCUCCUUGGAGUGUAAAAUCCUGUCAGCGGGGAAGAACCGGCCUUUAUGGCCCUGACGGUACCCGCAGAGGAAGUUCCGGCUAACUCCGUGCCAGCAGCCGCGGUAAUACGGGGGGAACGAGCGUUGUUCGGAUUCACUGGGCGUAAAGGGCGUGUAGGCGGGUCUUCAAGUCGGAUGUGAAAACCGGUGGCUUAACUGCCGGCCUGCAUUCGAUACUGUAGACCUUGAGUACGAGAGAGGAAAGUGGAAUUCCAGGUGUAGCGGUGACAUGCGUAGAUAUCUGGAAGAACACCGGUGGCGAAGGCGGCUUUCUGGCUCGAUACUGACGCUAAGGCGCGAAAGCUAGGGGAGCAAACAGGAUUAGAUACCCUGGUAGUCCUAGCCGUAAACGUUGGGCACUAGGUGUUGGAGGUGUCGACCCCUUCAGUGCCGCAGCUAACGCAUUAAGUGCCCCGCCUGGGGAGUACGGUCGCAAGGCUGAAACUCAAAAGAAUUGACGGGGGCCCGCACAAGCGGUGCAGUAUGUGGUUCAAUUCGACGCAACGCGAAGAACCUUACCUGCCGUUGACUUCCACUGGACAGCCUCUGAACGGACGUCUCCCUUCGGGGCCAGUGGACAGGUGC
rnacentral:rRNA from 1 species